AUGAAGGCUGUCGAGAAGGAGUUGUUACUUUUGGAAAAUGACAUGAAUGCUCUAGAAGAGAUGCUGAGGCUACCUGGGCUUUUACAGUGCUUGAUUACAUUGGAAAACUCAUAUUCGGCAUUGUUGGGUCUGCUUGGGUUUGCUGCUUUUGCAUUCUUCUGCUUCUAUCUCCUCAUCGCAGUGAUUGCUGGAGAAAUGAUGCUUGGCCUGAAAUUAGUUUUCAUCAGCAUUCACCCAAUGAAGUAG
rnacentral:rRNA from 1 species